rnacentral:rRNA from 1 species
GACGAACGCUGGCGGCGUGCUUAACACAUGCAAGUCGAGCGGUAAGGCCCUUUCGGGGGUACACGAGCGGCGAACGGGUGAGUAACACGUGGGUGACCUGCCCUCAGCUCUGGGAUAAGCCCGGGAAACUGGGUCUAAUACCGGAUAUGACUCCACGACGCAUGUUGUGGGGUGGAAAGCCUUGUGCGGCUGAGGAUGGGCCCGCGGCCUAUCAGCUUGUUGGUGGGGUGAUGGCCUACCAAGGCGACGACGGGUAGCCGGCCUGAGAGGGCGACCGGCCACACUGGGACUGAGAUACGGCCCAGACUCCUACGGGAGGCAGCAGUGGGGAAUCUUGCGCAAUGGGCGAAAGCCUGACGCAGCGACGCCGCGUGA